rnacentral:rRNA from 1 species
GAGAAGCUUGCUUCUUUUGGAAUCGAGUGGCAAACGGGUGAGUAACACGUAAACAACCUGCCUUCAGGAUGGGGACAACAGACGGAAACGACUGCUAAUACCGAAUACGCUUGGAAGACCGCAUGAUUUUCCAAGGAAAGGGUGGCCUCUACCUGUAAGCUAUCGCCUGAAGAGGGGUUUGCGUCUGAUUAGGCAGUUGGUGAGGUAACGGCCCACCAAACCUACGAUCAGUAGCCGGUCUGAGAGGAUGAACGGCCACACUGGAACUGAGACACGGUCCAGACUCCUACGGGAGGCAGCAGUGGGGAAUCUUCCGCAAUGGGCGAAAGCCUGACGGAGCAACGCCGCGUGAGUGAUGACGGCCUUCGGGUUGUAAAGCUCUGUGAUCGGGGACGAACGGUCCGUAAGCUAAUACCUUAUGGAAGUGACGGUACCCGAAUAGCAAGCCACGGCCAACUACGUGCCAGCAGCCGCGGUAAUACGUAGGUGGCAAGCGUUGUCCGGAAUUAUUGGGCGUAAAGCGCGCGCAGGCGGCUUUCUAAGUCCAUCUUAAAAGUGCGGGGCUUAACCCCGUGAUGGGAUGGAAACUGGAAAGCUGGAGUAUCGGAGAGGAAAGUGGAAUUCCUAGUGUAGCGGUGAAAUGCGUAGAGAUUAGGAAGAACACCGGUGGCGAAGGCGACUUUCUGGACGACAACUGACGCUGAGGCGCGAAAGCGUGGGGAGCAAA